AUUGAACGCUGGCGGCAUGCUUUACACAUGCAAGUCGAACGGUAACAGGCCGCAAGGUGCUGACGAGUGGCGAACGGGUGAGUAAUGCAUCGGAACGUGCCCAGUCGUGGGGGAUAACUACUCGAAAGAGUAGCUAAUACCGCAUACGAUCUAUGGAUGAAAGCGGGGGACCGUAAGGCCUCGCGCGAUUGGAGCGGCCGAUGUCAGAUUAGGUAGUUGGUGGGGUAAAGGCUCACCAAGCCAACGAUCUGUAGCUGGUCUGAGAGGACGACCAGCCACACUGGGACUGAGACACCGCCAAGACUCCUACGGGAGGCAGCAGUGGGGAAUUUUGGACAAUGGGCGCAAGCCUGAUCCAGCAAUGCCGCGUGCAGGAAGAAGGCCUUCGGGUUGUAAACUGCUUUUGUACGGAACGAAACGGCUCUGGUUAAUACCCGGGGCUAAUGACGGUACCGGAAGAAUAAGCACCGGCUAACUACGUG
rnacentral:rRNA from 1 species